GAUGAACGCUGGCGGCGUGCCUAAUACAUGCAAGUCGAGCGAACGGACGAGAAGCUUGCUUCUCUGAUGUUAGCGGCGGACGGGUGAGUAACACGUGGAUAACCUACCUUUAAGACUGGGAUAACUUCGGGAAACCGUAGCUAAUACCGGAUAAUAUUUUGAACCGCAUGGUUCAAAAGUGAAAGCCGGUCUUGCUGUCACUUUUAGAUGGAUCCGCGCUGCAUUAGCUAGUUGGUAAGGUAACGGCUUACCAAGGCAACGAUGCAUAGCCGACCUGAGAGGGUGAUCGGCCACACUGGAACUGAGACACGGUCCAGACUCCUACGGGAGGCAGCAGUAGGGAAUCUUCCGCAAUGGGCGAAAGCCUGACGGAGCAACGCCGCGUGAGUGAUGAAGGUCUUCGGAUCGUAAAACUCUGUUAUUAGGGAAGAACAUAUGUGUAAGUAACUGUGCACAUCUUGACGGUACCUAAUCAGAAAGCCACGGCUAACUACGUG
rnacentral:rRNA from 1 species